rnacentral:rRNA from 1 species
UGGGGAAUAUUGGACAAUGGGCGAAAGCCUGAUGGAGCGACGCCGCGUGAGGGAUGAAGGCCUUAGGGUUGUAAACCUCUAAAAGAGGGACGAUAAUGACGGUACCUCUUGAAUAGCACCGGCUAACUCCGUGCCAGCAGCCGCGGUAAUACGGAGGGUGCAAGCGUUAUCCGGAAUCACUGGGCGUAAAGGGCGCGUAGGCGGUCUGUUAAGUCCGAUGUUAAAUCCCGGGGCUCAACCCCGGAUAAGCGUUGGAUACUGGCAGGCUAGACGGUUGGAGAGGCGAGUGGAAUUACCAGUGUAGCGGUGGAAUGCGUAGAUACUGGUAGGAACACCCAUUGCGAAGGCAGCUCGCUGGACAACACGUGACGCUGAGGCGCGAAAGUGUGGGGAGCAAACC